UACAGAGGUCUCAAGCGUUGUUCGGAUUCAUUGGGCGUAAAGGGUGCGUAGGUGGCGCCGUAAGUCGGGUGUGAAAUUUCGGAGCUUAACUCCGAAACUGCAUUCGAUACUGCGGUGCUUGAGGACUGGAGAGGAGACUGGAAUUCAUGGUGUAGCAGUGAAAUGCGUAGAGAUCAUGAGGAAGACCAGUGGCGAAGGCGGGUCUCUGGACAGUUCCUGACACUGAGGCACGAAGGCCAGGGGAGCAAAACGGG
rnacentral:rRNA from 1 species